rnacentral:lncRNA from 1 species
GGGAGUUGAAAGUCCGUGUUGCCCAGCGACAGCCCCAAAACAUCACUGCUCUAGAGGAGAUCUGCAUGGAGGAAUGGGCCAAAAUACCAGCAACAGUGUGUGAAAACCUUGUGAAGACUUACAGAAAACGUUUGACCUGUGUCAUUGCCAACAAAGGGUAUAAUAACAAAGUAUUGAGAUAAAAUGUUGUUAUUGACCAAAUACUUAUUUUCCACCAUAAUUUGCAAAUAAAUUCAUUAAAAAUCCUACAAUGUGAUUUUCAGGAUUUUUUUUCUCAUUUUGUCUGUCAUAGUUGAAGUGUACCUAUGAUGAAAAUUAUAGGCCUCUCUCAUCUUUUUAAGUGGGAGAACUUGCACAAUUGGUGGCUGACUAAAUACUUUUUUGCCCCACUGUAUAUCGUGCAUCCCUAGUUGAAAUACACUGUUUUGCAAUGAAGGUCUACAGUAACUUCAACAGCACUGUCUGGGCUAGCACCAUGGUGUAGCCGGAGGACAGCCAGCUUCUGUCCUCUGGCUACAUUGACUUUAAUACAAAACCUAGGAGGAUCGUAGGCCUCACCCCCUUCCAUAGACAGACAUGGUAAUUAAAGUGCCUUGCGAAAGUAUUCGGCCCCCUUGAACUUUUCGACCUUUUGCCACAUUUCAGGCUUCAAACAUAAAGACAUAAAACUGUAAUUUUUUGUGAAGAAUCAACAACAAGUGGGACACAAUCAUGAAGUGGACCGAAAUGUAUUGGAUAUUUCAAACUUUUUUAACAAAUAAAAAACAGAAAAAUUGGGCGUGCAAAAUUAUUCAGCCCCUUUACUUUCAGUGCAGCAAACUCUCUCCAGAAGUUCAGUGAGGAUCUCUGAAUGAUCCAAUGUUUACCUAAAUGACUAAUGAUGAUAAAUAGAAUCCACCUGUGUGUAAUCAAGUCUCUGUAUAAAUGCACCUGCUCUGUCAUAGUCUCAGAGGUCCGUUUAUUACACACAGGUGGAUUUUUCAGUUUUUUAUUUGUUAAAAAAGUUUGAAAUAUCCAAUAAAUUUCGUUCCACUUCAUAAUUGUGUCCCACUUGUUGUUGAUUCUUCACAAAAAAAUUACAGUUUUAUAUCUUUAUGUUUGAAGCCUGAAAUGUGGCAAAAGGUCGAAAAGUUCAAGGGGGCCGAAUACUUUCGCAAGGCACUGUAUAACCACUUACGGGGGAUGUCCUACAACCAAUCAAAGCUUUUGCAGUACGAACUGACAUGUCCAUCCAAUCAUAGAAUUAGGAUCAGAGAAUGAACCUAGUGUGUUGUAUUGCGAUUGUGCCACAGAGCCUUAUGGGAGUUCUAUGUAUUGAGAAGCUUGGUGACAUUGUUGGAUGAGAUGAAGAGAUAGUUGAGCAUUUUGGGGGGGAUAUUAUUCAAUUCAAAUUAGUUUUUUGAAAUUAUAGGAGACGGAGGAGGUAUAUUAUAAAUCGCUUUCUUUGUUUUAGAACUUCGUGUCCAGUUAGCAAGGCAAAUUUAAAUAAAUUGCACUAACUUCAGUAGCUAGCUAGCUACCAGCGCGAGUGUGCAAUUUCUCUGCCAGAAUGGUAGAAUUGCCAAAGUUUCCGAAAAUGUUGUGGACUUUUUGUUGAAAUCUUUUCAUUCUCUGGGGUACACGGAAAAGGUUAUUAAAUUAAAAGCAAUACCAUUUUAAAUACCAAAAGUAUAACUGGUUAACAGGGAGCCUUUCAUCAAACCACCUGUAUUGCUGGCCUUGCCUUCUUUUUGGAAAGUCUGAGCCUUUUUGGAAAGUCUGUACCCACCUCAAAAGGUGGGUACAGUGACCUGACGAAUAUCGAUUGUUCCGCUAAAUGGCAAAACAAAAGCAGGGAGCAUAAAAAUGCCCACAUCAGAUUCAAGCUGGGAAAAAGCUGCCUCGACUAUGAUAAAAGUCUGCGUUUUCAAACUGCGAAACAACGAGAAAGUAAGAAGAAACAGGGAUGUUCUCAAGCAGCUGAUCAACACCACUGCAUUUUUGGGCAUGCAAGAAUUUGCUUUUAGAGGACACGACGAGGGGGAAAGUUCCGCCAACAAGGGCAACUACAAGGAGCAAUGUUAUGAUGCUUUACAUGCUGAACAUAUCGAACUUUUGACUGUCUUUUCUGGGAUAUCAAACAAUUCCAAUGAUUCGAUAGCUUCCAUUGCAUCAUCCAUUAAAAGAUAGAUUUUAGGAGAGGUUGACGCAGCGUAUUUUGUUUGCGUGCUGGCUUUGCACUUUCCUCUGGUAUUUAUUUAGCAAAGAUGAUAACACCUAAACACUCUAGACAGACACAAGCAAAAACUCAUUACAUAAACGUUGCAGCAGCCUAGGCUACACCUAAACAUUAGAAAUCUGACAUGCUGUAUGGGAUGAAAACAAGAUUAUUUUUCAGUCUGAUCAACUGUAGGCCAAUAAUAAGAGCAGCUGCAUACAGCCCAUGCGCCCUGUCCUAGUCCGCCUAUACGUUUUCAAUCAAAUGAUUAACUGGAAUUAAUCAAUCAACAUAAUAGUGAUGACAGAUGUGAGUAAAUGUUUUAGAAGGCCUACAGUUCCAUAGGCCUGCAUGAUGCAAACAUGCAUAAAGCAAGCUCAGCCUUGUGAGUUCUUUUGUCUAUCAGUUGUUGUCUGUGUUUGGGUAGAGGAAACUCCCCUCCUAGUCUAAAUAUAAUUUAUAUGAACAAAUAUAAGGUAGCUACAGUUUGACAGGGUUUUCAUCCCCCCCCCCAGGGCCAGGAGUUUUUUCAGUCGUUUUUUUUUAACUCACAUAGCCCAGAAACCUUUUUACAACUGAUUAACCACUGUCAUACCUUAUAGGGUCCAGAGUUUUCCUAGUUAGGUUAACGUAUAAGGAAAAACUACAGGCCCCAGGGGGUAAAAAUUUCCCCACCAGUCUGCCACCAGUCUGCUUGCAGUUGUCAGGUAUGUGGAUGAACAUGGCUUCAUUCAGGAAUGUUUCUUGGGCUACUUUGAUGUGUCAAGUGGGCGAGAUGCGCAGUCUGUGUUUGACUUUAAUCAUUUUAAGAUGUCCAAGUUAAACUUUAUGGAGAAGCUUGUUGUCCAAACCUACGAUGGCGCAGCUGUAAUGGAAUGUCAGUCUCCUCCUGUUCUCUGAUUUACUACCAUUGUCAACUCUCUCCUCACAUGAACUGAAGCCACGUAUCAUGUGCCCGCUCAUCUACUGGCACAUUGAAUGUAUCCCCUCCAAGCACUGAGUACCCCUAUCAAUUUUCUCUCAUUACUGUAUGUAGAGUCAAUCACCUACACGAACACAAUCACAUUAUUAGGCAUCAAUGAUUUUACUCCUUGCUUGGACUAACUCAUUCUUAAUUAUUUUGUCUAACUGUGUAGUGUGUGUUUAUUGUUUUUUGUCUUCCCAGUCAAAUCCUGUCCUGGUCAAGCCUCUGAACACCAACUCAUGCCUCAUUCAGUCACUGCUGUGAUCCCUUUCCAACAGUCCAAUACCGCACCAGCUGGUGUUACCCCUGCACAUAGGCUCUUGGACAGGAAGAGCCAUCCUGGACACCGGGUCAUCCUACAUGCUUCUCAGUGAGAAGCAAUGGCAGGAGGUGAAAUGUCCACAAUACAACAUGAAGCCGCGGACAGAAGGUCCAUUGUAUAUGGCUGACAAUGAGGCUAAACGACCACUCGGUUGGAGUUCUGCCUGUGCAACCAUUCCUAUAUGAUUCAUUCUGUUAUUCUGCCUUCCAAGACCCUUGCUGUAAUGUUGGGAAUGGAUUUCAUGUACUUCAGUGGUGUCCAGAUUGACAUUGCACACAAUUGCUACUGGUUUCCAUACAAUCAGGGCGAGAAGUACUUCUUCCAAGCAGAUGCUACGAAGUUACAUAUUUGUUAACUUUUGAUAAUAAAAUACUUUUCUGCUAACGGAUCCCUUUGUACAUAUUAAAUUCUAGUUUUUAAUCCCGGUGCUGAGUUAAUGUGUAGCGGCUAAUUGUAUAGCUAAUAGGCCAUGUGUUUGUAGAUCGACUGUGGUGACCCCCCCCCCCAAAUAAUGGCCUUCCCGGAAUUUUUAUACAUGACCCAAAGCACGAUGGGAUGUUGUUAAUUGCUUAAUUAACUUGAACCACACCUAUGUAGAAGUACCUUUUUUCAAUAUACUUUGUAUCCCUCAUUUACUCAUUAUUUUGGCCGGUACAGUGGAGGCUCCUCAGAGGAGGAAGGGCAGGAAUGUGAAUUUUGUAAAAAUCUAAAUAGUGAAACUUAAAAAAAAAAGUUAAGGCCAUUUAGCAAGUUUAAUCCAGAUCGGCCCUGUGGUUCUGGAGGAGAUGUCAUUUAAGUGUUUUUCAAAAUGGCAGAAAAUCCAUCAUGGCAGACCUUGUGGGUCUUUGCACAGAAUUUCAGGACUCUAGGUCAGGGACGGGCAACUGGUGGCCUACGGGCCUCAGAGGCCUUGGAUCAAUUUCCCUCUGAAACUUUUUUCUGUUAUGCUAUGUCAUAAUAGUAUUCUAAUUAUAUGGUCAGGCCACUGUCUCUCUCACACCAGUCUCUCUUAUUUUGUGUCCCCUGCCCAAUAUUCAUGGAUACAGCUCUCAGAUGAUAAACAUAUGGUCCGUGCUAUUCAGAUUCCUUUGGAUGUCCCUACCCCAUUGAAGUUGACAUUUUAAAAUGGUUAAGGUUAGGUAAGGGAUUUGGUUAUGGUUUAGGAUAGGGAUGUCCCAAGGAUCCCAGAUGGCACUGACCAUACACAUAUAGGAGCUAUGGCUGCAAGGACUGACCAUCUAUUAUAUACAAAUUAUAGUUUUAACCAUGUUUUGAGGCUAUACAGUGUUUGUUUUCAGUUAAACAGGCCCAUGCUUGGUUUUGAUGGGGAAGAAAAGUUCAACUAAACUCAACAAGCAUUUCUAACUUAUUUUCCUCAGUGCCUAGUAAAACUCUACACUAUCUUGAACAGUUUUCACAUUUGAGAUUGACUCCUUUACUGUCCAGCCACACCAGCUCAGGCUCAGGGUGCCAGCCUUCAGAUUCACAUUUUGAGUAUUUGGCGCACAGUGGUGGAAGGUGGAGACAGUCCAUCAGAGAGGCUGAGGGUGGAGAUACAGUCUGCUGGUAGGGAGACAAACAACAAGACAUGUAUUGUAGCACACAUCACUUUACACGGGGUUCAGGUGAGGAAUGAGGUCAGCUGGAAACACAUCAUUCAACCUAUAGAAUGUUUUACGUUAUACUUACAGUUAUUAUUAGUGGAAAUGUAAUGUAUUGUACAUCAGAAUGGAUGGACUGUAACUGUUGUAACAAAUACAGUAUGUUAUGAGUGAUAAAAUUAGCUAAUUAACGUUUGUAUAUGUCUAAUGCAAUUUAGCGUUUAGAAUGACAAGGCAAAAGCAAAGAGAAUCAAAUGAAAAUGCUUAUAUAGCUAAGUAAAAUUAUACGACAGUAAAUCACUGAUACCAAUAUCCAAGAUGGCGUAGCAGUUCAGACGUCCUUUACCCUCCUCUUGUCGUGUCACGUGUAUAUAUAUAUUUACAUAUUUUUCUUCGCAUUAUCUAUUUACAUUUUUUCAUCUAAAACUCAACCUCAAAGCACUCUCCUGCAACCCGCCUCACCAAUUUAAAAAAGAAAGUAUUAUUUACCUCAAAUCCGAAAUCCACAACAGAAGCUAGCCAGAGGUUAGCCAUUUUCACUGGCUAACGUUGGAGUUCAGCUAGCCACGGUUAGCUGUCCUCAGCUAUCCAUUAGCUCGAAAAGCUAUCGCCAGUUUUUGUACAGCGCGACUCAGACCAGAGCACACCGGACCUAUUCUCUCUCCUUUCCCCGAUUUCUACCGCAGGCUCUGGACAUUUACACCUGGAUCUUGCAGCUAACUAGCUGCUACCUGAGUGACUAUUGGCAACAUCGGUCCCGGAAUUAACACACAUUAUUCCGGAGAUAGCCAGCUGAAGAGUUCCGUCAGCCACUCGUGGGCUUUUCCUGAGCUAGCCAGCUGAAGUGUCUCCUGGGCUACAAUCACCUAUCCUGACCUGCUUUACUGCCGAUGCGGAGCCCCAUCGGGCCUUCACGACUGGACCACCGACGUUAUCUGUCCGAGGGAGUUAUCCAACUGGCCCCUCCGUCGCGACGUAACCUGAUCGCCCAUCUGCGGCCCACUAAUCGUUAAUCGUUAGCUGUCUUAUCGGCUGCGAUCUGAAUAGGUCUAUUGGACACUUUUCUUGGGCCACUAUAACUAACUAUUUUGCCAACUUGGACUGAUCCCCCCUUCCACACGAAACCCCACUAACCCACAGACGGAAACGCACGAGGUGGCUAAAAACAGACCUCCCUCCAUCUUCCACCAGCUUGCUACCUAUGGCCCGGCUAGCUUGUCUGAAUCUCACUGGACCCUUUGAUCACUCGGCUAAGCAUGCCUCUCCUCAAUGUCAAUAUGCAAUGUCCAUUGCUGUUCUGGUUAGUGUUUAUUGGCUUAUUUCACUGUAGAGCCUCUAGCCCUGCUCAUUAUACCUUAUCCAACCUCUCAGUUCCUCCACCCACACAUGCUAUGACAUCUUCUGGUUUCAAUGAUGUUUCUAGAGACAAUAUCUCUCUCAUCAUCACUAAAUGCCUAGGUUUACCUCCUCUGUAUUCACAUCCCACCAUACCUUUGUCUGUACAUUAUACCUUGAAGCUAUUUUAUCGCCCCCAGAAACCUGCUCCUUUUUCUCUCUAUUCUGGAGGUCACAGACGACCAAUUCUUAUAGCUUUUAGCAGUACCCUCAUACUCAUUCUUCUCUGCUCCUCUGGGGAUGUAGAGGUGAAUCCAGGCCCUGCAGUGCCUGGCUCCACUCCUACUCCCCAGGCGCUCUCUUCUGAUGACUUAUGUAACCGUAAUAGCCUUGGUUUCAUGCAUGUUAACAUUAGAAGCCUCCUCCCUAAGUUUGUUUUAUUCACUGCUUUAGCACACUCUGCCAACCCGGAUGUCCUAGCUGUGUCUGAAUCUUGGCUUAGGAAGUCCACCAAAAACUCUGAAAUCUUCAUCCCUAACUACAACGUUUACAGACAAGAUAGAAUGACCAAAGGGGGCGGUGUUGCAAUCUACAGCAGAGAUAGCCUGCAGAGCUCUGUCCUGCUAUUCAGGUCUGUACCCAAACAAUUUGAACUUCUACUUUUAAAAAUCCACCUCUCCAAAAACAAGUCUCUCACCGUCGCCGCCUGCUAUAGACCCCCCUCGGCCCCUAGCUGUGCUCUGGACACCAUAUGUGAACUGAUUGCCCCCAUCUAUCUUCAGAGCUCGUGCUACUAGGUGACCUAAACUGGGACAUGCUUAACACCCCAGCCAUCCUACAAUCCAAGCUUGAUGCCCUUAAUCUCACACAAAUUAUUAAUGAACCCACCAGGUACAACCCCAAAGCCGCAAACACUGGCACCCUCAUAGAUAUCAUCCUAACCAACGUGCCCUCUAAAUACACCUCUGCUGUUUUCAACCAAGAUCUCAGUGAUCACUGCCUCAUUGCCUGCACCCGUAAUGGUUCAGCGGUCAAACGACCUACACUCAUCACUGUCAAACGCUCCCUGAAACAUUUCAACGAGCAAGCCUUUCUAAUCGACCUGGCCCUGGUAUCCUGGAAGGAUAUUGACCUCAUCCCAUCAGUAGAGGAUGCCUGGUUAUUUUUUUUAAAUGCCUUCCUCACCAUCUUAAAUAAGCAUGUCCUUUCAAGAAAUUUAGAACCAGGAACAGAUAUAGCCCUUGGUUCUCCCCAAACCUGACUGCCCUUAACCAACACAAAAAUAUCCUGUGGCGUUCUGCAUUAGCAUCGAAUUGCCCCCGCGAUAUGCAACUUUUCAGAGAAGUUAGAAACCAAUACACACAGGCAGUUAGAAAUGCCAAGGCUAGCUUUUUCAAACUCUAAAAAGUUCUGGGACACUGUAAAGUCCAUGGAGAAUAAGAACACCUCCUCCCAACUGCCCACUGCACUGAGGAUCCCAAAUCCAUUCAGCUGAUGUUCUGAAAGAGCUGCAAAAUCUGGACCCCUACAAAUCAGCUGGGCUUGACAAUCUGGACCCUUUCUUUCUAAAAUUAUCUGCCGAAAUUAUUGCAACCCCUAUUACUAGCCUGUUCAACCUCUCUUUCGUGUCGUCUGAGAUUCCCAUAGAUUGGAAAGCAGCUGCUGUCAUCCCCCUCUUCAAAGGAGGUGUGACACUCUUGACCCAAAUUGCUACAGACCUAUAUCCAUCCUACCCUGCCUUUCUAAGGUCUUCGAAAGCCAAGUCAACAAACAGAUUACCGACCAUUUCGAAUCCCACCGCACCCUCUCCGCUAUGCAAUCUGGUUUCAGAGCUGGUCAUGGGUGCACCUCAGCCAUGCUCAAGGUCCUAAACGACAUCGUAACCGCCAUCGAUAAGAAACAAUACUGUGCUGCCGUAUUCAUUGACCUGGCCAAAGCUUUUGACUCUGUUAAUCACCACAUCCUCAUCGGCAGACUCAGUAGCCUUCGUUUCUCAAACGAUUGCGUCGCCUGGUUCACCAACUACUUCUCUGAUAGAGUUCAUUGUGUCAAAUCGGAGGGCCUGCUGUCCGGACCUCUGGCAGUCUCUAUGGGGGUACCACAGGGUUCAAUUCUUGGGCCAACUCUUUUCUCUGUAUACAUAAAUGAUGUUGCUCUUGCUGCUGGUGAAUCUCUGAUAUACCUCUACGCAGACGACACCAUUCUGUAUACUUCUGGCCCUUCUUUGGACACUGUGUUAACAACCCUCCAGACGAGCUUCAAUGCCAUACAACUCUCCUUCCAUGGUCUCCAACUGCUCCUAAAUACAAGUAAAACUAAAUGCAUGCUCUUCAACCGAUCGCUGCCUGCACCUGCCCGCCUGUCCAGCAUCACUUCUCU